rnacentral:rRNA from 1 species
GUGUCAGCCGCCGCGGUAAGACAGAGGAUGCAAGCGUUAUCCGGAAUGAUUGGGCGUAAAGCGUCUGUAGGUGGCUUUUUAAGUCCGACGUCAAAUCCCAGGGCUCAACCCUGGACAGGCGGUGGAAACUACCAAGCUGGAGUACGGUAGGGGCAGAGGGAAUUUCCGGUGGAGCGGUGAAAUGCGUAGAGAUCGGAAGGAACACCACCGGCGAAAGCACUCUGCUGGGCCGACACUGACACUGAGAGACGAAAGCUAGGGGAGCGAGCGGGAUUAGAGACCCCAGUAGUCCUAGCCGUAAACGAUGGAUACUAGGUGCUGUGCGUAUCCACCCGUGCAGUGCUGUAGCUAACGCGUUAAGUAUCCCGCCUGGGGAGUACGUUCGCAAGAAUGAAACUUAAAUGAAUUGACGGGG